CUACUUGAUCCACUUUACAUUUCUUAGUUGAUAAUAUCAGACUACAUUCUGAGAGUAGAACUUUCUUGUAGCAGUGCUUCUUAAUGUUACGUAGCUCCACAACAACGUCUUGUUUUGCACAAGCAACGUUAUCUGCAAGAAAUUCCUUCAAAGUCGUCUUCCUCUCUUUCUCCAGAGUCUCUUGCCUCUAAGUCGGUGCCGUUACGUUUAUGCUCCCGGAGGACUGGUCAUCUACUAAACGGAAUGAGGUGGUGUCCUCUAAUAACUACUUGUCGACUUAUUGAAACGAUGGCGGCGAUCUGAUAUGAUAAUUGAGAUUACGUUUUGUCAACAACACCAUCUGCUGAAAUAUCACGGUUCUUUUUCUUAAAGCGAAUGCUAUAGCUGACUACUUGGAUCUUUACAUUUCUUAGUUGAUAAUAUCAGACUAUAUUCUGAGAGUAGAAGUUGCUUGUAGCGGUGCAUCUUAACGUUACUUUGUUUGCUCCACAACAACGCCUUGAUUUGAACAAACAAAUUUAUCUACAAGAAUUCCUUCAAAGUUGUCUUCCUUUCUGUCUCCAGAGUCUCUUGCCUCUAAGUCGGUGCCGUUACGUUUAUGCUCCCGGAAGACUGGUCAUCUACUAAAAGGAGGAAGUUGAUGUCCUCUAAUAACUACUUGUCGACUUAUUGAAACGAUGGCGGCGAUGGCUGAUAUGAUAAUUGAGAUUACGUUUCGUCCAACACACCCACUGCUGAAAUAUCACGGUUACUUUUCUUAAAGCGAUCACUCUAGAGGCCUACUUGAUCAAGUUUGCAUUUCUUAGUUGAUAAUAUCAGACUACAUUCUGAGAGUAAAACUUUCUUGUAGCGGUGCAUCUUAACUUUACUUUGUUUGCUCCACAACAAUGCCUUGAUUUCAACAAACAAAUUUAUCUGCAAGAAAUUCCUUCAAAGUCGUCUUCCUUUCUUUCUCCAGAGUCUCUUGCCUCUAAGUCGGUGCCGUUAAGUUUACGCUUCCGGAAGACUGGUCAUCUACUGAAAGGAAUGAGGUGAUGUCCUCUAAUAACUACUUGUCGACUUAUGGAAAGGAUGUGGGCGAUGUCUGAUAUGAUAAUUGAGAUUGCGUUUCGUCAACAACACCAUCUGCCGAAAUAUCACGGUUCCUUUUCUUAAAGCGAAUACUAUAGCUGACUACUUGAAUCUUUACAUUUCUUAGUUUAUAAUAUCAGACUAUAUUCUGAGAGUAGAACUUUCUUGUAGCAGUGCUUCUUAAUGUUACACAAGCAACGGUAUCUGCAAGAUAUUCCUUGAAGGUCGUCUUCCAUUCUUUCUCCAGAGUCUCUUGCCUCUAAUUCGGUGCCGUUAAGUUUACGCUUCCGGAAGACUGGUCAUCUACUGAAAGGAAUGAGUUGAUGUCCUCUAAUAACUACUUGUCGACUUAAGGAAAGGAUGUGGGCGAUGUCUGAUACGAUAAUUGAGAUUACGUUUCGUCAACAACACCAUCUGCUGAAAUAUCACAGUUCCUUUUCUUAAAGCGAAUGCUAUAGCUGAC